CAAACAUUUCUAGAUAUAAAAUACUUAUAAAAUCGGAUUAGCAAAUGUUUUAUGAGGACGGAAAUACUUUCCACAUGUUUGUUGGACCUCAUGGAUUAACACAAUGUGAUUUACCAAGGCAGCGGUUCUCAGCUGUGGAGGAAUGCAUCGUACUUUGUUCCCAUUACCAGCCUUCCAACUCCUGGUUGCUGCAGCACAUCCCAUCAGCCCUCGGGCUCAGCUGACUGAUCGAUAGACCACUUAGCGGCCGUGAGCUACACAUCCCAGUCAUUUGACCUGCUGGAGCUGUGGGAAUGGGCACGCAAUCCAAUAAGCAUCGAGCCAAUGAGACAAGCGAGCUGGACCGGCAACUUGAGGAACUUCCCCCUCCUUGUUCAUCUCAGGAUGGGAGGAUACAGCACUCUGCAGAUCAGGCCUGUUUUAGCUAUCGUCACACACUCAUGACGGUGAGGAGGAGGGAGCAGUUGGAGGCCUUGGAGGAGUCUGAGUGCCAGCAGAUAAUGCAGUGAGGCCAGACAGACAAUCAUAUUGAUGACUCCUGUAGGCUGAGAAUGGUCCAGCUGACCCCUAAAAAUACACAAAAACGUGUGGCGGAUAAAACAGCAGGAACACCUUACAGUCAAAUCAACAUGAUGGGACUCAAGUAAACUCAGCAGAGGCUGAUCUGAUGAAUGACAGAAGAGAUGCCAGAGGGACUGACGUGAAAGAAAGUAAAUGAGGCAGACUUACUUCACUAAGGGCCAUGUCUGGCUUCUGCUGGGCUUUUAAUAGUAAGUAAACACUUGGCUUUAUCAUUCUGCGAUACAGCAUUAUUUUGUAGUACAACACAUCUGCAGAAUAAUGGCUCCCAGAAUCUCCUGCAUGUGCCCUAUUAUUUGAUGUCGGCUGCUCCGUCCCUCUGGAGCAGACUGAACACACACAGACCCAGAUAAUGACCUAUAUGUGGGGCCAGAAGACCGCUUCGACCUCCUGCUCCCCCCCCUCACCAUGGGCAUCAGGUCGGCCUUUGCUGCUCCCCUGAGGAAAUUGUUAGCAGAUGCCUCUGAAUCAAUUUGGCCAAAGACCCAUAACAACCUCUGCUGUAAUUAGUGGGGAUGUUUGGAGUGUAGAUACUCCCUCUGUAGUAAAACAAUAAGAAAAUGUAGUCAUACUUAUAUGUUGUCACAAUCUCUAGAUGAAUAGUGAAAAUCUGACUUCCAAUAUACUACACUGUAAGACCACUAGUUGGCAAUCAUCAAUAAGAAAAUCAACUACCGGUAAAAACAAAUGCAUAAAAAUACUGACAAAGCAUAACACAUAAUUUCCGUGUUAUUUUUAAGAAUUUGUGCAAUUAGAGAAGAUUAGUACUUUGAUAUUUUUUUACUAAAUGUUUAACAUCUAUAUAUAUGACUAUUUUUAGGUCCUGAGCACAACUAUGUAACAAAGUAUUGUUACAUUGCCCACAAAGACAUUACCUGACCAGUUUGGAACACUGACUUGACCUUAUUUUACCUUUUGAUCUGACUCAAGCAUAUGCACAUACACCAGUAUGAAGAAUAACACAUUUCAUCUGUCUGCAUGUUCAGGGCAUUUUUCUGCGAGCAGCUUAUUUUUAUCCUAAGGGAGGGGAGGGCGGGCACCCAGGCAC